UCUUUGGAAGUUACUCCAAUACGUAUCUCCAACAACCAUGACCGAUUCUUUCAAGCGUCCUUCCGAAGUUGCUGGUAAGACAGACAACACGAAACGUUUUGAACCCACAGUCACCAGUGUUUCCAGAGACGAACUGAUGAAAACCCUUGACGCAGAUGGACUUAAGCGUCAAAAUACAACUAGAUGUAAAGUGAGUGACCUACCCAAGAACCUUUUGCUCGAGAUCAUCUCUUAUGAAUCCAUUAAGAUCCAUGAUGAAGAUGUGUGGAAAGUUCUGCUCAGCCCUAGUGUGAAAAAAGAAGCACUACCAAGCGAAUAUGAUGUCCUCCUCAACACCCAGUACACAGAGGCCGUUGGGAAUGCAACCCAUAUGAUCUUCGCCGGACAAAAUCGGUCCAAGAACAACCGCCUCUUUAACAAAAUCAAGUUCUUCUGCUGUGUUGAAGAUGACAUGGGGGAAGAGGAUGAAACAGAGAAGGAAUCGGACUGUCAAAUUCAGCAGUAGGUCCUGAGGCAGGACAAACUCCGCUCCAGUGAAAAAAAUCGCCGAAAGUGAUGUAGAGUUAGCUAGCUCUUCUGUGUAAUAAAAGAAGUGGAAAUCUGA